UGCAGUCGAACGUGAAAGCACUUCGGUGUGAGUAGAGUGGCGGACGGGUGAGUAACGCGUGGGAAUCUACCCAGUAGUGGGGGACAACUACCGGAAACGGUAGCUAAUACCGCAUACGCCCUAUGGGGGAAAGGCUUCGGCCGCUAUUGGAUGAGCCCGCGUCAGAUUAGCUAGUUGGUAGGGUAAAGGCCUACCAAGGCAACGAUCUGUAGCUGGUCUGAGAGGACGAACAGCCACACUGGGACUGAGACACGGCCCAGACUCCUACGGGAGGCAGCAGUGGGGAAUAUUGGACAAUGGGCGAAAGCCUGAUCCAGCAAUGCCGCGUGUGUGAAGAAGGCCUGCGGGUUGUAAAGCACUUUCAGUUGGGAAGAUGAUGACGUUACCAACAGAAGAAGCACCGGCUAAAUCCGUGCCAGCAGCCGCGGUAAUACGGAUGGUGCGAGCGUUAAUCGGAAUUACUGGGCGUAAAGCGCGCGUAGGCGGCUAAGUCAGUCAGAAGUGAAAGCCCCGGGCUCAACCUGGGAAUUGCUUUUGAUACUGCUUAGCUAGAGUUUGGUAGAGGAUAGUGGAAUUCCAGGUGUAGCGGUGAAAUGCGUAGAUAUCUGGAGGAACAUCAGUGGUGAAGGCGACUGUCUGGACCAAAACUGACGCUGAGGUGCGAAAGCGUGGGUAGCAAACAGGAUUAGAUACCCUGGUAGUCCACGCCGUAAACGAUGUCAACUAGCCGUCGGGUCUAUUUACAGACUUGGUGGCGCAGCUAACGCGAUAAGUUGACCGCCUGGGGAGUACGGCCGCAAGGUUAAAACUCAAAGGAAUUGACGGGGGCCCGCACAAGCGGUG
rnacentral:rRNA from 1 species